AAUCAACGCUGGCGGCGUGCCUCAGACAUGCAAGUCGAACGCGAAAGUCCCCUUCGGGGGAUGAGUAGAGUGGCGCACGGGUGAGUAACACGUAGGUAAUCUACCUUCGGGUGGGGAAUAACAACUGGAAACGGUUGCUAAUACCGCAUAAUGCAGCGGCACCUAAUGGUGACAGUUGUUAAAGCGGGGGAUCGCAAGACCUCGCGCCUGAAGAGGAGCCUGCGGCGGAUUAGCUAGUUGGCAGGGUAACGGCCUACCAAGGCGACGAUCCGUAGCCGGCCUGAGAGGGCGGUCGGCCACACUGACACUGACAUACGGGUCAGACUCCUACGGGAGGCAGCAGUCGGGAAUUUUGGGCAAUGGGCGAAAGCCUGACCCAGCAACGCCGCGUGAAGGAUGAAAUCCCUCGGGAUGUAAACUUCGCAAGAACGGGGAGAAUAAGCCGGUGUCAACACCACCGGCGAUGACGGUACCGUUUGUAAGCUCCGGCUAACUCCGUGCCAGCAGCCGCGGU
rnacentral:rRNA from 1 species